rnacentral:rRNA from 1 species
UUAAGCGACUAAGCGUACACGGUGGAUGCCCUGGCAGUCAGAGGCGAUGAAGGACGUGCUAAUCUGCGAAAAGCGCCGGCGAGGUGAUAUGAACCUUUGACCCGGCGAUGUCCGAAUGGGGAAACCCAGUGUGAUUCGUCACACUAUCGUUAACUGAAUACAUAGGUUAACGAGGCGAACCGGGGGAACUGAAACAUCUAAGUACCCCGAGGAAAAGAAAUCAACCGAGAUUCCCCCAGUAGCGGCGAGCGAACGGGGAGCAGCCCAGAGUCUGAAUCAGCGCGUGUGUUAGUGGAACGGUCUGGAAAGUCCGGCGGUACAGGGUGAUAGCCCCGUACACUAAAAUGCACACGUUGUGAACUCGAAGAGUAGGGCGGGACACGUGGUAUCCUGUCUGAAUAUGGGGGGACCAUCCUCCAAGGCUAAAUACUCCUGACUGACCGAUAGUGAACCAGUACCGUGAGGGAAAGGCGAAAAGAACCCCGGCGAGGGGAGUGAAAAAGAACCUGAAACCGUGUACGUACAAGCAGUGGGAGCCUCUUUUAUGGGGUGACUGCGUACCUUUUGUAUAAUGGGUCAGCGACUUAUAUUCUGUAGCAAGGUUAACCGUAUAGGGGAGCCGAAGGGAAACCGAGUCUUAACUGGGCGUUAAGUUGCAGGGUAUAGACCCGAAACCCGGUGAUCUAGCCAUGGGCAGGUUGAAGGUUGGGUAACACUAACUGGAGGACCGAACCGACUAAUGUUGAAAAAUUAGCGGAUGACUUGUGGCUGGGGGUGAAAGGCCAAUCAAACCGGGAGAUAGCUGGUUCUCCCCGAAAGCUAUUUAGGUAGCGCCUCGUGAACUCAUCUUCGGGGGUAGAGCACUGUUUCGGCUAGGGGGCCAUCCCGGCUUACCAACCCGAUGCAAACUACGAAUACCGAAGAAUGUUAUCACGGGAGACACACGGCGGGUGCUAACGUCCGUCGUGAAGAGGGAAACAACCCAGACCGCCAGCUAAGGUCCCAAAGUCAUGGUUAAGUGGGAAACGAUGUGGGAAGGCACAGACAGCCAGGAUGUUGGCUUAGAAGCAGCCAUCAUUUAAAGAAAGCGUAAUAGCUCACUGGUCGAGUCGGCCUGCGCGGAAGAUGUAACGGGGCUAAACCAUGCACCGAAGCUGCGGCAGCGACACUAUGUGUUGUUGGGUAGGGGAGCGUUCUGUAAGCCGUUGAAGGUGUCCUGUGAGGGGUGCUGGAGGUAUCAGAAGUGCGAAUGCUGACAUAAGUAACGAUAAAGCGGGUGAAAAGCCCGCUCGCCGGAAGACCAAGGGUUCCUGUCCAACGUUAAUCGGGGCAGGGUGAGUCGACCCCUAAGGCGAGGCCGAAAGGCGUAGUCGAUGGGAAACAGGUUAAUAUUCCUGUACUCGGUGUUACUGCGAAGGGGGGACGGAGAAGGCUAUGUUAGCCGGGCGACGGUUGUCCCGGUUUAAGCAUGUAGGCGGAGGUUCCAGGUAAAUCCGGAACGUUAUUAACGCUGAGGUGUGAUGACGAGGCACUACGGUGCUGAAGUAACAAAUGCCCUGCUUCCAGGAAAAGCCUCUAAGCAUCAGGUAACAUCAAAUCGUACCCCAAACCGACACAGGUGGUCAGGUAGAGAAUACCAAGGCGCUUGAGAGAACUCGGGUGAAGGAACUAGGCAAAAUGGUGCCGUAACUUCGGGAGAAGGCACGCUGAUAUGUAGGUGAAGUCCCUUGCGGAUGGAGCUGAAAUCAGUCGAAGAUACCAGCUGGCUGCAACUGUUUAUUAAAAACACAGCACUGUGCAAACACGAAAGUGGACGUAUACGGUGUGACGCCUGCCCGGUGCCGGAAGGUUAAUUGAUGGGGUUAGCGGCAACGCGAAGCUCUUGAUCGAAGCCCCGGUAAACGGCGGCCGUAACUAUAACGGUCCUAAGGUAGCGAAAUUCCUUGUCGGGUAAGUUCCGACCUG